AGGUGUGAUCAUGGAAGAUGCCACCAUUGAGUUGGGUCCCCUGGUUUUACUGGAGAUGAUGAGGCCAAGUGGCAGCACUUAAUUAUUAAAGCAACACUGAGCAGUGCUGGUUUGAAGGUCUGCUUCCUCAGGGUGUGAAUGCUUACACAAGGACUAUGUCUGGAACCAAAAGGAUUUUCUCAGGUGCCUCUUGGUACUUUGUGUCCAGUAAAAAAAAAACAUAAAGAAAACUACAAAAGCAGCAACAACAAAACAGCAGAAUGAUGAAUAACUUGGAUUAAGAAUGAAGAUUUGUGUUGUACCGUCAGGUAAAGAAGUCAGUGAACUGAGGUUCUGGCUAAGGGCAAGGGAAAUAUGGAAGAAGCCACCUGUGAUGUUAUAACCAAUAACAGAAACAAAGACUGUAUGAGCUUUGUAUGUUUUCUCUUUGCUAGCUAUAUGUAUGUGUUUUGUACAUGAAAA
rnacentral:lncRNA from 10 species